rnacentral:tRNA from 1 species
GUGGGGUUGUGGCUCAGUGGUAGAGUACUCACCUAACAUGCAUGAGGCACUGGGUUUGAUCCUCAGCACCACA